rnacentral:rRNA from 1 species
AGCUCCAAUAACGUAUAUUAAAGUUGUUGCGGUUAAAAAGCUCGUAGUUGGAUUUCUGUUGAAAGUGGUUGGUCCCCGCUCCGCGGGCGUAUCUAACUCGCUUUUGGCAUCCUCGUAUAACGCGUUGCUGCCCUUCAUUGGGUGGUGCGAAUUAUACGACUUUUACUUUGAGGAAAUUCGAGUGUUUACGGCAGGCAAUCGCCCUGAAGAUAUUAGCAUGGAAUAAUAAUAUAGGACCUUGGCCCUAUUUUGUUGGUUUCUAGAGCUGAGGUAAUGAUUAAUAGGGAUAUUUGGGGGCAUUCGUACUAACCGGUCAGAGGUGGAAUUCUUGGAUUCGGUUAUGACGAACGACUGCGAAAGCAUUUGUCAAGAAUGUUUUCA